rnacentral:rRNA from 1 species
GUAGUUUGCCGGAGCUUUCUUAGUGGGGUACCGUCACUUACUUCCGUCCCCCAUCACAGAAGUUUACAACCCGAAGGCCUUCUUCCUUCACGCGGCAUUGCUGGGUCACGGGUUUCCCCCAUUGCCCAAUACUUCCCCCCUGCUGCCUCCCGUAGGAGUCUGGACCGUUUCUCAGUUCCAGUGUGGCCGUUCAGCCUCUCAGCUCGGCUACCCAUCGUCGACUUGGUGGGCCGUUACCCCGCCAACUAUCUAAUGGGACGCGAACCCGUCUUACACCGGAUCUCUCCUUUGACCCCCAGACCAUGUGGCCCUGUGGUCUUAUGCGGUAUUAGCAGCCGUUUCCAGCUGUUGUCCCCCUGUGUAAGGUUGGUUGUUCACGCGUUACUCACCCGUCCGCCGCUAAGUUCCCCCCGAAGGGUUCCCUCCGCUCGACUUGCAUGGGUUAGGCAUGCCGCCAGCGUUCGUCCUAAGCCAGAAUCAAACUCUGA